rnacentral:rRNA from 1 species
CUACGUAGGGUGCGAGCGUUAAUCGGAAUUACGGGGCGUAAAGCGUGCGCAGGCGGUUUUGUAAGACAGGCGUGAAAUCCCCGGGCUCAACCUGGGAAUGGCGCUUGUGACUGCAAGGCUAGAGUGCGUCAGAGGGGGGUAGAAUUCCACGUGUAGCAGUGAAAUGCGUAGAGAUGUGGAGGAAUACCGAUGGCGAAGGCAGCCCCCUGGGACGAGACUGACGCUCAUGCACGAAAGCGUGGGGAGCAAACAGGAUUAGAGACCCCUGUAGUCC